CCACAAUAAUGUUAAACUCAUCUCGUAUCAACAUUUAAGCAUUACUAUGGCAUGCAUUGGGAAUUAGAGGUGCACACCGACGUCGAGAAUUACCUAAAUUACCAUAUAUAAUGUUUGUAAAGCUGUAGCACACACAUAAUCAAGAUAAAUUGGGCACCCAACUUCAACUAGCAAAACUUUAGGCAUGGCAGGCAUGAGGAAUAUUAGGGAACCUAGAGCAGAGCCAGUGUCUCCACAUGCUUCCCAUCUGUUAGGAAAAGUGGCAGACCUUCGAAGGCUUGAUCGGUGCCAAAAAAUUUUGGUUCAUCUGAUGUGCAAACUGUUUCCACUGUAUCCAUGCUGCACGGAUAGAUGCUGCCUGAAGAAGUAACGGAUUGCACGGAUGCGACUGCUAGCUCACAACAGAGUAGGACCUUUGAUGGCUUAACUCGAGUGACAAGGAUGCAGCAACAGACUUUAUUGGGCAUAGCUUUACUUUCUCCGGCACCCUGCCAAUUCCAGGUCACUGCCCCCACAUCGCUCUAUCGACAAGUGGAUCACCUAUGGUACAGCUGCCACUUGGAGUAUAUCAGUCUAGUCAUUCACUUACAGUCUGGCCCCAAUAACCACGCAUAGGCCAAGCUAUCGUUUCAAGGGUGCUGACCAGCUGGUGCUAGGCGGACUGCACGAUUGAAAAGGAGACAAAAAAAAAGGACAUAUUACAAGCUAAAUUUGGAACCUAAUAGUUUUGGGCAAAGAAAUUUAAGUUGGUGUAUGUUUUCUUGAUAAGACAUGGCCAUGAUGAUUCAAGAACAAAAAAUGGCAGAAAUUCCGUAUUCUACAAAUUGAUGAUGGGGAGUCCUAUAUGAUCGCAUAUGUUUUUGUUGAGAGGUGGGGGCGUCAAUGACAUAUGAUACACACGCUGAACCAAAAAUGACAUUUGUUGAAUACAUUUCAAAUGGCCCGCUUUCGCAGCUGAAUGCUCAGAGCUGAGGGUUCUUGAAGAUUAACAAAAGUGUCCAUGCUAAUAUUGUAUCCCGUUGGUUUCCCAACUUUGUGUAUGCAUG
rnacentral:lncRNA from 1 species